rnacentral:lncRNA from 1 species
CUCCUUCUACUAAACCGAUGAUUGAACAGGAUCGUGAGAUCGAUUGAAUUAUUGAUGAACUCACCAAAUUUGAUAAUGAAGAGGAGGAUGUACCACUCAAUUUACUUAAAAGGCCGAUGCGUUAUAAGAUAAGUGCACAAAACACCACUUACCGCAAUUAAAGUACCACCAUUCAGUUCCAAGCUUUGGAAGUUUUUCUUCCAUUAUUAGAUCUCAUUAUGUUCAUAUAUAUGUUAUUGCAUUCUUGGUUCAUGUAACACCCCUUACCCGUGUCCGAUGCUAGAAUAGGGUACGAGGCAUUACCAGACUUAAUCGUUCA